rnacentral:rRNA from 1 species
AAUAGAUACCCCGGUAGUCCACGCCGUAAACGAUGGAUACUAGCUGUUUGAGCGCAAGUUUGAGUGGCUAAGCGAAAGUGAUAAGUAUCCCACCUGGGGAGUACGGGCGCAAGCCUGAAACUCAAAGGAAUUGACGGGGGCCCGCACAAGCGGUGGAGCAUGUGGUUUAAUUCGAUGAUACGCGAGGAACCUUACCAGGGCUUAAAUGUAGAUUGACGUAUUUGGAAACAGAUAUUUCUUCGGACAAUUUACAAGGUGCUGCAUGGUUGUCGUCAGCUCGUGCCGUGAGGUGUCAGGUUAAGUCCUAUAACGAGCGCAACCCCUGUUGUUAGUUGCCAGCGAGUAAUGUCGGGAACUCUAGCAAGACUGCCAGUGUAAACUGUGAGGAAGGUGGGGAUGACGUCAAAUCAUCACGGCCCUUACGGUCCUGGGCCACACACGUGCUACAAUGGCCGGUACAGAGAGCAGCCACUUAGCGAUAAGGAGCGAAUCUAUAAAGCCGGUCACAGUUCGGAUCGGAGUCUGCAAC